rnacentral:rRNA from 1 species
UACGUAGGGUGCAAGCGUUGUCCGGAAUUAUUGGGCGUAAAGAGCUCGUAGGCGGUCUGUCGCGUCGGCUGUGAAAACCCGGAGCUCAACUCCGGGCCUGCAGUCGAUACGGGCAGACUGGAGUUCGGCAGGGGAGACUGGAAUUCCUGGUGUAGCGGUGAAAUGCGCAGAUAUCAGGAAGAACACCCGUGGCGAAGGCGGCUUUCUGGGACGGUACUGACGCUGAGACGCGAAAGCGUGGGGAGCGAACAGG